AGAGUUUGAUCCUGGCUCAGGAUGAACGCUAGCGGCAGGCUUAACACAUGCAAGUCGAGGGGCAGCACGGGUAGCAAUACUUGGUGGCGACCGGCGCAAGGAUGCGUAACGCGUGAGCAACAUGCCCGUAUCAGGGGGAUAAUCCAUGGAAACGUGGUCUAAUACCCCAUAGUAAGUUUUUGGGGCAUCUCAAAGAUUUUAAAGCUUUGGUGGAUACGGAUUGGCUCGCGUGACAUUAGCUAGAUGGUAAGGUAACGGCUUACCAUGGCUACGAUGUCUAGGGGUUCUGAGAGGAAGGUCCCCCACACUGGAACUGAGACACGGUCCAGACUCCUACGGGAGGCAGCAGUGAGGAAUAUUGGACAAUGGAUGGAAAUCUGAUCCAGCCAUGCCGCGUGCAGGAAGACGGCCCUAUGGGUUGUAAACUGCUUUUGUAUGGGAGCAAUAAGGGCUACGUGUAGUCCGAUGAGAGUACCAUACGAAUAAGCACCGGCUAACUCCGUGCCAGCAGCCGCGGUAAUACGGAGGGUGCAAGCGUUAUCCGGAUUUAUUGGGUUUAAAGGGUGCGUAGGCGGUUUGAUAAGUCAGCGGUGAAAUAUUUCAACUUAACUGGAAGGGUGCCGUUGAUACUGUCGAGCUUGAAUUUAGUUGCUGUGGGUGGAAUGUGUGGUGUAGCGGUGAAAUGCAUAGAUAUCACACAGAAUAUCGAUUGCGAAGGCAGCUCACAAAGCUAAUAUUGACGCUGAUGCACGAAAGUGUGGGGAUCAAACAGGAUUAGAUACCCUGGUAGUCG
rnacentral:rRNA from 1 species